rnacentral:lncRNA from 1 species
CUAAAAGCUGAUUAUAAUGAGCUAUAAAUGAGAGUCAAUUCAAGGAUGUAAAUGUGUUAGAUGUUAGAAAACUCCUAAGCCUUUUAAUAGGAGAAAAAUACACAAAAUCUGACGGAGGAAAAGGAGGAGACACACAACAUCGAAGAAAAGGAUGAGUCCUCCACCUUUCGCCGUUUCUAGGUUUUAGCUUUCCUAACUUUUUAUGUAAUUUGUUUUUAUGUAUUUUGUUAUGUUUUUAAUGUAGUUUAUGGAUACUUACGGCUGCUUUGAAGCCCUAGACAUGAUUGAAUUAAUGUUAUGAUGCAAUUUUAGUUUAUCAAUUUCAUUUGCAAGCUAGAAUUAGUUUUCUAUCUCAAUUGUUUCAAGCUUAGCUAUCUUGUUUAAGUUUGCUUUCUAUUGAGAAUGAUAAGGAUGACUGCCAUAUCUUCUUUCAUUCCUUAGCAACAUGUGGUUAGGUUCAGAACUAAUCAUGUAAGCUGAUUCCAUGAAAAUCUAGGAGAAAUGCCAUGUUCUAGGGUUCUUGUGAUGUUCAUAAUCCUCUUCGCUCUUAAUGAGCUUCUAGGUGCUAAAUUUGACUAUAUGCCAUGCUAGGUUGCACCUACAAAUAUAAGUUUGAUUUAUAUGCCAUGCAUCUAACAUGCAAAGAAAGUGAGGAUUCAUACAAUCUAGUUGUAUGCUAUGCUAGAUGUGUGAACAUCUUAGUUGUGCAUUUGAAAUGGAUAAGUUAAAAGAUUACCUCAUUGAUUCAUGAAUGUUUAGGGGAAGGCCUUAGCUAAUUUUAAGUCAGAUUUAUGUCCUAAAAAUGUUUCUAACCUAUUUCAUGUAUUAGGUUUAUUUUUAGAUAGUUCUAAUUUUCC